rnacentral:rRNA from 1 species
CACGUAGUUAGCCGGGGCUUUCUUCUCAGGUACCGUCACUCCAGGUGCAGUUACUCACCUGGACGUUCUUCCCUGGCAACAGAGCUUUACGAUCCGAAAACCUUCAUCACUCACGCGGCAUUGCUCCAUCAGGCUUUCGCCCAUUGUGGAAGAUUCCCUACUGCUGCCUCCCGUAGGAGUCUGGGCCGUGUCUCAGUCCCAGUGUGGCCGUUCACCCUCUCAGGUCGGCUACGCAUCGUCGCCUUGGUGAGCCAUUACCCCACCAACUAGCUAAUGCGCCGCAGGCCCAUCUUAUAGUGACAGCUUACACCGUCUUUCCUCAUUCUCCGAUGCCGGAAAAUGAUGUAUCCGGUAUUAGCAUCCGUUUCCGGAAGUUAUCCCAGACUAUAAGGCAGGUUGCCUACGUGUUACUCACCCGUCCGCCGCUAAGUGUUUUCGAAAGCAAGCUUUCGAAAACACCCCGCUCGACUUGCAUGUAUUAGGCAUGCCGCCAGCGUG